AUAGUUUGCUUACCAUCCCAGUAAAGAAACAGCCUUCCCGAGAAGCUUCUGGCCAUUCCGUGGAGAAUCAGCGUUCAGAACACCAAUUGCUGCAAUCCAGGUUAAAGGCAACAAGGGAGAAGUAAAAAUCAAGUGUAAAGCUAUUGCAGAAAAUAUCAAAUUAAGCUCAUCUUACAAGUUGAAGAAAGGUGCUCAUGGUCAGAUUGAAUUCACUGUUGCCGCACCACCUUCCUAAACAUCAACCCUGUGGCUGGAACAGUUAGCUUUAUUUAUGGUAUUUUUAAUAUUAUAGCAUUUGCUUCUUGUUUAAACGUUGUUGUCUGAAUUCACUAUAGUGUGAUAUGUUUAGAUUUUCCAUAGAUGUUAUUCAAUAUGCUGGUCAAAAAUUAUUGUUUACAUGCAGUAGAUUUUGCAUUCUGUUUCUUCUCAGGGAAAAGAUAUUCUUUAAUUUAUUUCGUUAUGGGUAUUCUCUAUCUAUAACAGAAUAGUAGAAUAAUAUAAUUCCGCAUUCAUCACCAAAUAUGUUGAUGCAUAUAAAAACAGGCUUUAUUUCAGAACUCUAUAAAUUUCAGAUUACGACGGUGUUUAUCAAAACUAGAUAGUUUAGCCAAAGUUUAUACUAAAUUAUAACUUUGGGUCGGGUGUUUUAACAUUCUUUUUAUCAAAUUUUUGUAAUCAUCCCAAUAAAUUGUGUUAAAAAUAUUUAAGUAAGUUUUGUGCAUGAUUUCUAUUGCAAUACAAUUAUAUUUAUUGUAGAUCAGUUUCUUUGUUUUAAAUUGUUUGCUUAACCUACAGGCCAUAAUACAGGGUUGCAGCGGUUUAAUUGGAACUUAAAUAGCGGGUAACAGGUUUUCUUCAAUAUGAGCGUUUACUUGCAUGCCUUUCUUCAAGAUCCUGUGAUUACUAUUUCGAAUACUCUAAAUUACUUAACAUUGUCACGUAUACACUACGUCAUUGGUUGGGACAGAUAAGUCAUGUAUUAUAUCAUGGAUUUUUAACAUCAUGUAUUUAAGAAUCUAUAACAACUGAUAUGUACUUAGAACACUGCAUGGUUCUCGAAAUACACUGUCACGGGCCUGCAAAUUAGUGCCGGUCAUCGGACAUUGUCCGACCAAAAUUUACCUUUUGUCCGAUCAAAGCUUUUUAUGAUCGGACAUGUGACCGACCGAUUUAGGCUGGUCAAAUCUCCAAUUUUUAUUAAUAAAACCAACAAGAAAGCAAUAUAGACAGCACUUCUUCACUAUUUCUAUUAAUUAAGGUUAAACCGUAAGAUUUAAUUAUAAAUCUACAUCACCUUUGUUGUGUAACUGGUAGAAAUUAAAAAAGAAAAAUUUUACUUUGUCCAUUGUCCUGGAAAAAUUGAUAAAUGUCCGACCAAUUUUUGGCUUGGCCAGACAUUUGUCCUUCCAAGUAAAAUGAUUAUUUGCAGCCCUGCUCUCACAACAGUAUGAGAAAACUUGCAUGUUUUCGUUUAGACAUCCCAUAUAUUUUCCAGCAAACAUGACAGCCAAAGGUGGUACUGUAUUAUUAGAACUUUGACUCUUGAACAUUUACGGAAAAUCUAUAUGAACUACGUAAAUGUAUAUGUCAAUUACCUAUAUAGGAAUUACAUUUUUUGAAAUUGUUGUAACUUUGUUAAGGUACAAUGUUGAAAUACAGUAAAGUUUCAGUUUUUGUUUCCAAUAGUUUCUCUUUUGAACAGACAGGUUGAAACCACAAAUACAUAUACAACUUCAAACUUUGUUUGGAGCCGCCUACGAUUUAAACUUUGUUUGUAGCCGCCUACUAUUUAAAACAACAUAUUUUAAAACGAGGCAAAAUUACCUUGAAAAAAUUGCCUGACGAGAUCAACUUCAAUAAUUGCAUGGCGGAU